ACAUCAUUCCUUUACCACAGGUAUCAGUCAUUACAUCAUUCCUUUACCACAGGUAUCAGUCAUUACAUCAUUCCUUUACCACAGGUAUCAGUCAUUACAUCAUUCCUUUACCACAGGUAUCAGUCAUUACAUCAUUCCUUUACCACAGGUAUCAGUCAUUACAUCAUUCCUUUACCACAGGUAUCAGUCAUUACAUCAUUCCUUUACCACAGGUAUCAGUCAUUACAUCAUUCCUUUACCACAGGUAUCAGUCAUUACAUCAUUCCUUUACCACAGGUAUCAGUCAUUACAUCAUUCCUUUACCACAGGUAUCAGUCAUUACAUCAUUCCUUUACCACAGGUAUCAGUCAUUACAUCAUUCCUUUACCACAGGUAUCAGACAAAACCCACAACCACACCGUUAAUAAUAUAUC